GCCCUUGCUGCCUGGCUCAUGAAAGCCCCCUGUGGGAGAGCCCCAGGAGCGCAGGGCAUGUGGGGUGCAGGAAGCGCCUUUCCCCACGCCCCGGUGUAGGUGAACUCGAUAGAGGAGGGAGGAGGGUGACACCCACCAGGGGUGCUAAUUAGUAACCACAGUGGCCUCAAAGAACUCAAAUGAAAGGAAGACUUGCAAGUCUCUCACUUUAAGUCCAGAGCUAGAAAUGAUUAAGCUUAGUGAAUAUGUAGAAUUUUCAUAGCUAGAGAGAAGUCAACGCUUGGCUUCAAAACUUCAAAGGAUGGGCUGACUCUCUUUGAGGACCACUGCAGCUGGUGACUUUAAGUUACAGCCAGUGCUCAUUGACCACUCUGAAAAUCUCAGGGCCCUUAAGAAUUAUGCAAAAUCUAUUCUUUCUGUGCUCUAGAAAUGGAACAUCACUGUCUGGGUGACAGCACAUCUGUUAAUAGCAUGGUUUACUGAAUAUUUUAAUCCCACUAUUGAGACCUACUGCUCAGAAAAAAAAAAAAACGAUUCUUUUAAAAAGAUUGUUGGUUGGCCAGGCAUAGUGGCUCAUACUUGUAAUCCCUGCACUUUGGGAGGCCGAGGAUCACCUGAGGUCAGGAGUUCAAGACCAGCCUGGCCAAAAUGAUGAAACCCCAUCUCUAAUAAAAAUACAAAAAAAUUAGCCAGGGAUGGUGGUAGUACCUGUAAUUUCAGCUACUUGGGAGGCUGAGGUAGAAGAAUGGCUUGAACCCUGGAGGCAGAGGUUGCAGUGAGCCAAGACCGUACCACUGUACUCCAGCCUGGGCAACAAGAGCAAAACUAAGUCAAAAAAAAAAAAAAGAAAAGAAAAGAAAAGAAAGAAAAAGAAAAAAUAAAAGGAAAGAAAAGGAAAAAAGAAAAAAAGAUUGCUGCUUAUUGACAAUUCACCUAGCCACCCAGAAGCUUAGAUGGAGAUUUACUUGGAAAUUAAUGUUAUUUUCAUGGCUGCUAGUACAAUAUUUACCUUCAGCCUGUGGAUCAAGGAGUGGUUUUGACUUUCAAGUGUUUUUAUUAAUUAAUAAUUGCAUUUUGUAAAGGUAUAGCUGUCAUAGAUAGUGAUUUCUUUGAUGAAUCUGGAUAAACUGAAUUGAAAACCUUUUGGAAAGGAUUCCCCAUUAAUCUUUUCAUGAUAUUUGAACCUCCUCCCGUGAAUCACAAAUGUCCUUAAUAGCAAUCCUUAAAUGCCAUUAAGGACAUUUGUGAUUGAUGGGAGGAGGAUGAAAUAUUAACAUUAACAGGAGUUUGGAAGAAGUUGAUUCCAGCCCUCAUGGAUGACUUUGAGGGCUCAGGAUGUCAGUGGAGGAAGUCCCUGCAGAUGUGGUAGAAAUCACAAGACAACUAGAAUUAGAAUUAGGGCCUUAAGGUGAGAUGAAAUUGCUGUAAACUCAUGAUGAAACUUGAACAAAUAGGGAGUUGCUUCUUAUGGACGAGCAAAGAAAAUAUUUUCUUGAGAUGGAAUCUAAUCCAGGUGGAGAUGCUAUCAACAUUGUUGAAAUGACAACAAAGGAUUUAGAAUAUUCCAUAAACCUAGUUGAUAAAGCAGCAGCAGGGUUUGAGAGGGUUUAUUCCAAUUUUGAAAGAAGUUCUACUGUUGAUAAAAUGCUGUCAAACAGCAUCACAUGCUACAGGGAAAUCUUUGGUGAAAGGAACAAACUUCAUUGUUUUAAAAAAUUGACACAGGCUUCCAACCUUCAGCAGCCCCCACACUGAUUAGCCAGCAGUCAUCAAUAUAGAGGCAAGACUCUCACCAGCAAAAAGAUUAUGACUUGGUAAGGCUCAGAUAUUCAUUAGCAUUUUUUAGCACUGACGUAUUUUAACUUAAGGUAUGUACACAGUUUUUUAGACAUGCUAUUAAUUACUAAUUAAUAAUUAUUAAAUACUCAUUAGACUACAAUAUAGUUUAAGCAUAACUUUUAUAAGCACUGGGAAAUAAAAUGUUUAUGCAACUAACUUGAUUGUAACAUUUGCCUUACUGAAGUGGUCUGGAACAAAACCCACACUAUCUCUGAGGUGUGCUUGUAGGUUUUUGUUUGUAGCAUUUGCUUUACUGCAGUUGUCUGGAACCAAACCCACACUAUCUCUGAG
rnacentral:lncRNA from 1 species